AGUGAACGCUGGCGGUAUGCCUAAUACAUGCAAGUCGAACGGCAGCACAGUAAGCUCUCUCUCUUACGGUUGGCGGGUGGCGGGCGGGUGAGGAAUACAUCGGCAUCUACUUUUUCUGGGGGGAUAACGUAAGGACACUUAUGCUAAUACCGCAUACUAUCUACGGGUUAAAUCAGGGGUUCUUGACACUUUUCCUGUUAGAAUUAGACGAUGCCGGAUUAGCUAGUUGGCAGGGUAAAGGCCCACCAAGGCGACGAUCCGUAGCUGGUCUGAGAGGAUGAUCAGCCACACUGGAACUGAGACACGGUCCAGACUCCUACGGGAGGCAGCAGUAGGGAAUAUUGGACAAUGGGCGAAAGCCUGAUCCAGCAAUACCGCGUGGGUGAAGAAGGCCUUCGGGUUGUAAAGCCCUUUUGUUGGGGAAGAAAAGCAGCAGAUUAAUACCCCGAUGUUCUGACGGUACCCAAAGAAUAAGCACCGGCUAACUUCGUG
rnacentral:rRNA from 1 species